rnacentral:lncRNA from 1 species
GCCCCUCAUAUCUCCUUAAAACAUGAACUUUAAUUUUUUCCCCUCUUUGUUUCCAGAAAAAUAUGAUUUUGCCUGUAGUAAAGGCUGUGAUCGUGUAAAAUAGUGACUCCUGAUUGGAUCCAAGAUUGUAUUAAAGGCAGUACGAUCUACAAUGAAUCCUUAUAUCAUCCACGUUUGUUGAACCUACCUAAGUCUAUCCUGAAUCGUAAACCAGAUGAAGGUAUUGCAGCGAUAACAGAUUUGUUGAUGAUGAGCCAAAUACUGAGUCGACUUCUCAGUCCUCUCUUAGUAAUGAGCUUCUGGAAAAGUUGAAGCAACGUAUGCCUUGGAAUCAACCUGUCUCAACACCGACUACGCCAACAACAGCUGCUGUCCAGAGUGCAAAUGGGCCUGUUUCCAGCUCCGGACCAGUUUCUCAAUCCUCUACAACUGUAUCUUCUCAAAUACCUCAGAUGCUGUCUCAGGCUCGGCCCAAUACAACCCCUGUUAGCCAAUCAAUUCAUCAAAUACAACAGCAACAACAGCAAUUGACUCAACAACAGCAGAUACGUAUACAGCAGCAGCAAGAACAGCAGCAACAUCAGCAGCAGCAGCAGCAACAACAACAACAACAACAGCAACAGCAACAGCAGCAACAACAACAACAGCAGCAACAGUUACAACAAUCACCUCAGCAACAACAGUCUCCUCAGAAACAGCAACAAUUACUACAAUCAUCCCAGCAACAACAGUUACAGCAGUUACCACAACAACUGCAGCAAGUAUCACAACAACAGCAGCUUCAGCUGCAACAGCAGCAACAGCUACAAUUACAGCAACAGCAGUUGCAGCAGUCUCCACAGCAACUCACUCAGCAGCAACAGCUUCAGUUACAACAGCAUCGAAGGUGAGCUUCUAAUGUGUUAGAGAUCCAUUGUUUGGCGAAAGUAUCAAGCUCUCAGAGUUAAAGAAACCUUUUGACAGCAUGAUUUACGGGUCGUU